rnacentral:sRNA from 1 species
AAAUAGGCUGCGUUAGGGAUUGAAACGGCAUCCUUUAUUAUAAAAAAAUGCGAUAGCAUUUAUGUAUAAUAAAGAUAUAGUGUAAAGCCCGCCCGAAC